AGGUUACAAAAUAUCAAGAUAAAAUACAUACUUACAAUGUAAAUAAUAGAACCUAAAAGUCAUUUAAAUGCACAUCAUGAAAUACUAAGCAGAUCUAAAACAAUGGAAAUUUCAAAUAUGGGGAUUACAAAGUUCUGUAUUUGAUGUCAAAAUGUCAGGUGGGUUUUUCUAAGAAAAGCAUAAUUCUAAAGUUGGAGUGCCACCACUGAUACAACUCAGUCUCUGAUAUCCAUGUUUCAGAUAGUUAAGGAACCCAAGGGAGGGCUUGUGUGGAAGUGAAUAGGCUUAUAUGGAAAUAAGCAUUCCACCCUAAAAAUACUCUAUUGUCUGAUUUUAGUAGCUGAAUUGUCCAAGCCUAGUUAAUAGCUGGGGACAACCACAGAAAGCAAGGAAUUCCAGGCAGGUGAAUGAUUUUUUAAAAUCUAACGACCUAGAGAGUUGAUUGCAUGGGGGUUAAUGGACCAAAGAUACGACUGAGUUUAAGGGGCUCACAGUAUUCUCAAAUAUGGGCUUUACUUUGAAAUAACAUACUAGUAUUAUACUUCAAUUUGUAUAUGAUCAAUUUAUAGGACUGGAGGUGGAGACACAGACAGAAUUUAGUUAAAAACAAAUCACAUUAUUCAACAUAGAUCAUCCAAGGUUUUCAAAGAUCUGCUGGUGAAAAAUCAUUGCAUGUGUGCACCAGACCCUGGAAGAAGACAGAAGUAAUCUCCCUUGGGAGCACUAGAAAAAAAAUUACAAAUGCCUUUCUGAAGUGUUCAGCUUCUCAUCCUUCUCACAUGCUUUUGAACCUAAAUCCUUUCCUCUCUGCAGAGAAGAAUAUAAAAGCCGAGCACUGGGGCCUGCUUAUUUAAUGAGGAUUUGUGUCAUAUCAAGGAGACUCAAAGUGGAUUCUUCCAGAAGUGGAUUCCACAGCCUGAGAGCAGCCACAGAGAAGUUUCUCCAUACCUCACAACCUCUGAGGAUGCCUGCCAUAGAUGUGGGCGAAACGUCAGGAGAGAAUACUUCUAGAACAUGGCCAUACAGCCCGGAAAACAUACAACAACCCCACUCUCUUCUGUGUUUUUAACAAACAUGUCUAUGAAGCAGGCAUAGGCAAACCGGCCCUCCAGGUGUUUUGGACUUCAACUCCCAGAAAUCCCAGCCAAUUUACCAGCUGUUAGGAAUUGUGGGAGUUGAAGUCUUGAACACUUGGAGGGCCUAUGCUUGCUAUGAAGGUUGUGGAACAGAAAGACAGCUCAUCACUACUGAUCUUAACUCUCAUGCUGGCUUGUAUAGCAAGAUACAGUCCUUCAGAUAGCCUGAACCCAAGCUGUAUAGGCCUUUAAAAGACAAAACCAGAACUCUGCAUUGUGAAUGAAAAUUUUCAAGUCCAGACAUAGAAGAGAAGACUGUAUUGAUAAGGCAAUUUUUGGGUUUUUGGAUGUUGCUUAAACUGUAAUUCCCAUCAACACAAACCAGCAUAUCCCACAAUGAGAGAUUAUGGAAGUUGUGACCCUCCAGAUACUACCAAACCACAAGAUACCCAUCUGCACAUAAAGGGAAUAUGAACCUUGCAAGUUAAAGCAAAAUGACAGCUUACUCGAAGUAACUACAUAUAUUUUUCUUGAACAUUUAAGGGAUGCUUGUGGGACUUUCUGCCUAAGAUUUCAGUAUAUUAUUUCUAACUUUGUUGCAACUUUGGAGCAGUCGUUGUACUGCAUCAGGAAAUAAAGUUCCACAGGAUGGGCCUACCUACCCUUAACCUGCAUUUGAUGAACUGGUCAUGUAAAAGUUGGGAAAUACCACUCUUUCCAAACACUUAUUCUCAACAACAACACAUAAAGACCUUGACUUCUUUGUUCAAUCCAAACGUGUGUUUUGCUGUAACUGCUUACAUAUUGAAAAGGGGGAUCUACCAUUUUUAAGGCCUUGUCAGGGUUUCAUUUCUGUGCUUUAAUAUUUCUAAUGUUUACACUUAUAAAUUGUUUAAUUGUUUUAGAUAUAUACACACACACACACACUUUUGUUCUGACCUUCACAUUGUAUUGUUUUAAAUAUAUUGUUAAAUACAUUUAACAUUAAAUAUGCGGAGCUGUA